GAUGAACGCUGGCGGCGUGCCUAAUUCAUGCAAGUCGAGCGAACGGACGAGAAGCUUGCUUCUCUGAUGUUAGCGGCGGACGGGUGAGUAACACGUGGAUAACCUACCUAUAAGACUGGGAUAACUUCGGGAAACCGGAGCUAAUACCGGAUAAUAUUUUGAACCGCAUGGUUCAAAAGUGAAAGACGGUCUUGCUGUCACUUAUAGAUGGAUCCGCGCUGCAUUAGCUAGUUGGUAAGGUAACGGCUUACCAAGGCAACGAUGCAUAGCCGACCUGAGAGGGGAAGCGGCCCACCUGGAACUGGAACCGGGUCCAAACCCCACCGGGGGGCAGCAGGGGGGAAUUUUCCGCAAGGGGCGAAACCCUGACGGAGCACCGCCCGGUGGGUGAUGAAGGGCUUCGGACCGUAAAACCCUUUUAUUGGGGAAAAAAAAAUGUGUAAUUAACUGUGCCCAUUUUGACGGUACCAAAGCAGAAAGCCACGGCUAACUACGU
rnacentral:rRNA from 1 species